CAAUAGCGUAUAUUAAAGUUGUUGCAGUUAAAAAGCUCGUAGUUGAACCUUGGACCUGGACAGGCGGUCCGCCUCACGGCGUGUACUGUCUUGCUGGGUCUUUCCUCUUGGUGAUCUGUUGUUUCGGCAGCAGGGAACCAGGACUUUUACUUUGAAAAAAUUAGAGUGUUCAAAGCAGGCUCGACGCCGGAAUAUAUUAGCAUGGAAUAAUAAAAUAGGACGUGCGGUUCUAUUUUGUUGGUUUUUGGAAUCGCCGUAAUGAUUAAUAGGGACAGUCGGGGGCAUUAGUACUCACAUGCUAGAGGUGAAAUUCUUGGAUUUUGUGAAGACUAACUUCUGCGAAAGCAUUUGCCAAGGAUGUUUUCAUUAA
rnacentral:rRNA from 1 species